rnacentral:rRNA from 1 species
CACCUCUAGCAUUAUCAGUAUUAGAGGCACCGCUUGCCCAGUGACACAUGUUUAACGACUGCAGUAUCCUGACCAUGCAAAGGUAGCAUAAUCACUUGUUCUUUAAAUGGGGACUUGCAUGAAUGGCACCAUGAGGGUUCAAUUGUCUCUUACUUUCAACCAGUGAAAUUGACCUGCCUGUGAAGAGGCGGACAUAAGACAAUAAGACGAGAAGACCCUGUGGAGCUUCAAUCUACUAAUGCAACCAAGAUUAAUACAAACCCACGGGCCUAAUAUAAUCCACCCCUGCAUUAGAAAUUUUGGUUGGGGUGACCUCGGAGCAUAAUUAAACCUCCGAAUUAAAUCACGCCAAGACUACACAAGUCAAAGCAACUUAAUAUUUAUAAUUGAUCCAAUAACUUGACCAACGGAACAAGUUACCCCAGGGAUAACAGCGCAAUCCUAUUCCAGAGUCCAUAUCGACAAUAGGGUUUACGACCUCGAUGUUGGAUCAGGACAUCCUAAUGGUGCAGCAGCUAUCAAGGGUUCGUUUGUUCAACGAUUAAUAGUCCU